CGANACNGGNAGCCNUANAACACAUGCAAGUCGAACGAUGAACUCCAGCUUGCUGGGGGGAUUAGUGGCGAACGGGUGAGUAACACGUGAGUAACCUGCCCUUGACUCUGGGAUAAGCGCUGGAAACGGCGUCUAAUACCGGAUACGAGCUUCAGCCGCAUGGCUAGGAGUUGGAAAGAAUUUCGGUCAAGGAUGGACUCGCGGCCUAUCAGCUAGUUGGUGAGGUAAUGGCUCACCAAGGCGACGACGGGUAGCCGGCCUGAGAGGGUGACCGGCCACACUGGGACUGAGACACGGCCCAGACUCCUACGGGAGGCAGCAGUGGGGAAUAUUGCACAAUGGGCGAAAGCCUGAUGCAGCAACGCCGCGUGAGGGAUGACGGCCUUCGGGUUGUAAACCUCUUUUAGUAGGGAAGAAGCGAAAGUGACGGUACCUGCAGAAAAAGCACCGGCUAACUACGUGCCAGCAGCCGCGGUAAUACGUAGGGUGCAAGCGUUGUCCGGAAUUAUUGGGCGUAAAGAGCUCGUAGGCGGUUUGUCGCGUCUGCUGUGAAAUCUGGGGGCUCAACCCCCAGCCUGCAGUGGGUACGGGCAGACUAGAGUGCGGUAGGGGNAGAUUGGAAUUCCUGGUGUAGCNGNGGGAAUGCGCAGAUAUCAGGAGGAACACCGAUGGCGAANGCAGAUCUCUGGGNCCGUAACUGACGCUGANGAGCGAAAGCGUGGGGAGCGAACAGGAUUAGA
rnacentral:rRNA from 1 species